CUCCUUAGAAAUGUAAAUUCUCAGGACCCACUCUAGACCUACUAAAUCAGAAUCUCUGGGGUUGGAGCCCAGGAAUCUGUAUUUUAAC
rnacentral:miRNA from 1 species